rnacentral:rRNA from 1 species
UGCUUGCACUAUCACUUAGCGGCGGACGGGUGAGUAAUGCUUAGGAAUCUGCCUAUUAGUGGGGGACAACAUCUCGAAAGGGAUGCUAAUACCGCAUACGUCCUACGGGAGAAAGCAGGGGAUCACUUGUGACCUUGCGCUAAUAGAUGAGCCUAAGUCGGAUUAGCUAGUUGGUGGGGUAAAGGCCUACCAAGGCGACGAUCUGUAGCGGGUCUGAGAGGAUGAUCCGCCACACUGGGACUGAGACACGGCCCAGACUCCUACGGGAGGCAGCAGUGGGGAAUAUUGGACAAUGGGGGGAACCCUGAUCCAGCCAUGCCGCGUGUGUGAAGAAGGCCUUAUGGUUGUAAAGCACUUUAAGCGAGGAGGAGGCUCUUUUGGUUAAUACCCAGAAUGAGUGGACGUUACUCGCAGAAUAAGCACCGGCUAACUCUGUGCCAGCAGCCGCGGUAAUACAGAGGGUGCAAGCGUUAAUCGGAUUUACUGGGCGUAAAGCGCGCGUAGGCGGCCAAUUAAGUCAAAUGUGAAAUCCCCGAGCUUAACUUGGGAAUUGCAUUCGAUACUGGUUGGCUAGAGUGUGGGAGAGGAUGGUAGAAUUCCAGGUGUAGCGGUGAAAUGCGUAGAGAUCUGGAGGAAUACCGAUGGCGAAGGCAGCCAUCUGGCCUAACACUGACGCUGAGGUGCGAAAGCAUGGGGAGCAAACAGGAUUAGAUACCCUGGUAGUCCAUGCCGUAAACGAUGUCUACUAGCCGUUGGGGCCUGUGAGGCUUUAGUGGCGCAGCUAACGCGAUAAGUAGACCGCCUGGAGAGUACGGUCGCAAGACUAAAACUCAAAUGAAUUGACGGGGGCCCGCACAAGCGGUGGAGCAUGUGGUUUAAUUCGAUGCAACGCGAAGAACCUUACCUGGCCUUGACAUAGUAGAAACUUUCCAGAGAUGGAUUGGUGCCUUCGGGAAUCUACAUACAGGUGCUGCAUGGCUGUCGUCAGCUCGUGUCGUGAGAUGUUGGGUUAAGUCCCGCAACGAGCGCACCCUUUUCCUUACUUGCCAGCAUUUCGGAUGGAACUUUAAGGAUACUGCCAGUGACAAACU